AAAAUAAUCUGGAGAAAAAUAGAACAAAGUUGGAGGCAUAAGACUUCCUGACUUCAAUAUAUACUACAAUGCUGUAGUAACAAAAGAGCAUGAUAUUUGUGUGAAAAACAGACACAUAGACCAACGGAACAGAGGAGAAACCCAGAAAUAAAUCUAUGUAUUUAUAACCAACUGAUAUUUGAUAAAGGUGCCAAGAACAUACAUCAGGAAAAAGACAC